rnacentral:rRNA from 1 species
UACGGAGGGUGCAAGCGUUAUCCGGAUUCACUGGGUUUAAAGGGAGCGUAGGUGGGUUGGUAAGUCAGUGGUGAAAUCCCCGAGCUUAACUUGGGAACUGCCAUUGAUACUAUCAGUCUUGAAUACUGUGGAGGUUAGCGGAAUAUGUCAUGUAGCGGUGAAAUGCUUAGAUAUGACAUAGAACACCAAUUGCGAAGGCAGCUGGCUACACAAAUAUUGACACUGAGGCUCGAAAGCGUGGGAUCAAACAGG